rnacentral:rRNA from 1 species
UACGAAGGGGGCUAGCGUUGCUCGGAAUCACUGGGCGUAAAGCGUGCGCAGGCGGUUCGCUAAGGCCGAUGUGAAAUCCCCGGGCUUAACCUGGGAAUGGCAUUUGGGACUGCAAGGCUUGAGUGCGGCAGAGGAGACUGGAAUUCCUGGUGUAGCAGUGGAAUGCGUAGAUAUCAGGAGGAACACCAAUGGCGAAGGCAGGUCUCUGGGCUGACACUGACGCUCAUGCACGAAAGCGUGGGGAGCAAACAGG